rnacentral:rRNA from 2 species
ACUUUCAACAACGGAUCUCUUGGUUCUGGCAUCGAUGAAGAACGCAGCGAAAUGCGAUAAGUAAUGUGAAUUGCAGAAUUCAGUGAAUCAUCGAAUCUUUGAACGCACAUUGCGCCCUCUGGUAUUCCGGAGGGCAUGCCUGUUCGAGCGUCAUUU